CCAACCUAGAGAGCAUAUUAAAAAGCAGAGACAUUACUUUGUCAACAAAGGUCCAUCUAUCAAGGCUAUGGUUUUUCCAGUUGUCAUGUAUGGAUGUGAGAGUCGGACUAUAAACAAAACUGAGCACCGAACAAUUGUUGCUAAUGAACUGU